UGGUGGCAAGAGUUGGAUUUAGCUCCAGUGUUGGGAUAGGUUUAAUUGAGGAAGCAAAACACUUAUCAACAGAAUUCCUUCUUAUCAGCCGACCAAGAAAUAAAUCAAAUAGGCUUGCAGAACUCUUAGUGUGCGAAAGUGGCAGGCUGCAUUUACUCCAGAUGGCUAUCUUGAUAUAGGCAGGACACUUAGUCGAAUACAACGCAGGGUGGUGUAUGAAUAUGGCAGAAUAAUUUUUCUCAAAAGGGAAGAGCGCGUAUUAGCCAGAAACCAAAAAGCUAACAUUGCUGACUUCCAAGUUUGAGUUUACUAGAAGAGGUUGUUGGAGAAGUCCUCAGAUACGCAAAUCCAGAAUUUCUUCUUACAGCCUUCUUAAUCAAUUAGGCUGAACCUCAUGUACUCAUACUCCUUUUUUUCAGUGUCAGAUAUUUCAAGUUUUCAUUUCCCUGCUGCUGCAUGCUCUUGUUGUUUGUAAUGAAACAUGUAUAUCUUGAGCCUAUGCCAGCUUAUAAUGAUAUGCAUAUCUUGAAUUUA